rnacentral:rRNA from 1 species
AGAGUUUGAUCCUGGCUCAGAUUGAACGCUAGCGGGAUGCCUUACACAUGCAAGUCGAACGGCAGCACGGACUUCGGUCUGGUGGCGAGUGGCGAACGGGUGAGUAAUGUAUCGGAACGUGCCCAGUAGCGGGGGAUAACUACGCGAAAGCGUAGCUAAUACCGCAUACGCCCUACGGGGGAAAGCAGGGGAUCGCAAGACCUUGCACUAUUGGAGCGGCCGAUAUCGGAUUAGCUAGUUGGUGGGGUAACGGCUCACCAAGGCGACGAUCCGUAGCUGGUUUGAGAGGACGACCAGCCACACUGGGACUGAGACACGGCCCAGACUCCUACGGGAGGCAGCAGUGGGGAAUUUUGGACAAUGGGGGAAACCCUGAUCCAGCCAUCCCGCGUGUGCGAUGAAGGCCUUCGGGUUGUAAAGCACUUUUGGCAGGAAAGAAACGUCGUGGGUUAAUACCCCGCGAAACUGACGGUACCUGCAGAAUAAGCACCGGCUAACUACGUGCCAGCAGCCGCGGUAAUACGUAGGGUGCAAGCGUUAAUCGGAAUUACUGGGCGUAAAGCGUGCGCAGGCGGUUCGGAAAGAAAGAUGUGAAAUCCCAGAGCUUAACUUUGGAACUGCAUUUUUAACUACCGAGCUAGAGUGUGUCAGAGGGAGGUGGAAUUCCGCGUGUAGCAGUGAAAUGCGUAGAUAUGCGGAGGAACA